rnacentral:rRNA from 1 species
GACGUAGGGCGCGAGCGUUGUCCGGAUUUAUUGGGCGUAAAGAGCUCGUAGGCGGUUUGUCGCGUCUGCUGUGAAAUCCCGAGGCUCAACCUCGGGCUUGCAGUGGGUACGGGCAGACUAGAGUGCGGUAGGGGAGACUGGAAUUCCUGGUGUAGCGGUGGAAUGCGCAGAUAUCAGGAGGAACACCGAUGGCGAAGGCAGGUCUCUGGGCCGUAACUGACGCUGAGGAGCGAAAGCAUGGGGAGCGAACAGG